AAGAAAUUUUUUCUUUUUGACUUUUUUCUGAAUUUUAAUAUUUUGGGAAAAUCAAAAUCAAAAAAAAACUUAUCCGUUGAACCUUUUUUUUAUACUCAAGAAAAUUAUUGUCUGAAAGAAAUUACAAAAAUUACAAAAAUUAU
rnacentral:misc_RNA from 1 species